rnacentral:rRNA from 1 species
AUGAACGCUGGCGGCGUGCCUCAUACAUGCCAGUCGAGCGAACAGACGAGGAGCUUGCUCCUCUGACGUUAGCGGCGGACGGGUGAGUAACACGUGGAUAACCUACCUAUAAGACUGGGAUAACUUCGGGAAACCGGAGCUAAUACCGGAUAAUAUAUUGAACCGCAUGGUUCAAUAGUGAAAGGCGGUUUUGCUGUCACUUAUAGAUGGAUCCGCGCCGCAUUAGCUAGUUGGUAAGGUAACGGCUUACCAAGGCAACGAUGCGUAGCCGACCUGAGAGGGUGAUCGGCCACACUGGAACUGAGACACGGUCCAGACUCCUACGGGAGGCAGCAGUAGGGAAUCUUCCGCAAUGGGCGAAAGCCUGACGGAGCAACGCCGCGUGAGUGAUGAAGGUCUUCGGAUCGUAAAACUCUGUUAUUAGGGAAGAACAAAUGUGUAAGUAACUAUGCACGUCUUGACGGUACCUAAUCAGAAAGCCACGGCUAACUACGUG